CCUAUUUUACUGCCUAAAAGUGGCAAUACAGAGUUAUCAACACUUUCUUCUUAAUAUUUUAAAAAAUUGAAUGCUCAUCUAAAGAACGUCUUCUUUAAAGUCCAAAUUUCUUCUCCCGCAGCUUGGUUUGUAAGUACUGAUUUUUCAGGAUGUUUGAUCCUAAAUUCAGCAAAUAGAUCUGCCAUUCUCUAUAAAAUCCUCUAUAGAAGGUCUGUCUCAUCUAUAGAUUCCGGUCUCUUGUAUAACAUUCUUGCGGUCUAUUUUACGUUUUUCUUCAUCUCUUUCAGUGACAAAAAGAUAUUCUAUUAGUCAUAUUGAUACUGAGAUUAACAUCUUGUUUCAUAAGAAUCUUGACAAGUCAUCUUGGGCAGAAGACGACACUACUUAUUAUAUAUCGAGUAAAAUUGGUACUCGAUUGACUUUCAAAUAAUGCUACCAGUUUUGUUAGCAGUCUCAACUCUCAAGUGUCAACAAAAUUAAAGGUGACAUGCUCCAGUUUAAGAGGCACAUGCUCUACUUUUUUCUUCUUUUACGGUGGAAGUACGGUUAUGGAGAGCUGGGACAAGUUCAAGUACCGGGACAAGUUCAAGAUUUUGAAGACAAUUGCAAAUAGUGAUAAUUUGUAAUUUUUAUUUUUCAAUUAAAAAAAAAAGUCUUAUGUAAUACAAGUGACGAUUUAGUUAUUUAUUUUUAUAAUUCUUUGAUCAAGACAGUUCUUGUAUGAGAUGAUCUCUUUUGUAUUGUAAUGAUUCUUUUUUUUGCUCAUUCAAAACAAUUAAUAAAAUCAGUUUAUAAUUUAUUUGUUUGAUAUUUUUAUAUAUAAAUAAAUAAAUUAAUUGUAUAAUGCCAUGUGGCAAACUUUAGAUGGCCAUGAGCAACAGUUUUGAAUAAUUAUUUGGACUAAA